CUGGGGACAGGUGGAGAAUCAGCCACGCCCUCUCUCCUAGGAGGUGAAGCUUAAUCUGGGUUUUGAAGAACGAGUAGCAUUGAUUGGCUGGGGCCUGGGGGGCAGGGAGAGGCAUAAAAGCAAGACGGCAGGACAGGUUCCUGGAGCCCUGGGAAGUCUGGGCAGGGAAGGCUGGGUUUCCUUGGAAGUAGAGCAAGUGGACUGGAACCCAGCAGAGAGGAGGCAAGGUGUGUACCUCUGGGGUUACCUGCCACCUGGGAGAGCAGACAGCCUGGGAGGUGGUGCACGCAGCCCCUGGCAACCCCCAUUCUGCUUUCUGUCUCUGAAUCUGACUCCUCUGGGAACCUCAGAGUUCCAGCCACAAUGAAACAGAAAGAUCGAUGAAUGUCAGAGGACAUUUAAGCCUGUUAAAAAAAAGCUGAAAGCCGGAUUCCUGUCCCUCACUUUUAACUGCAUGCAGAAGUUCCCACAUCAAAGCUUGA